rnacentral:lncRNA from 1 species
UAGCUGCCUCAGUGAGUGCAUCUUUCCAUUCCUGUAACUUGUCAUUAUUGCUCUUCAAAUCUCGCUUAUGUUUUGCGAAGGCUUGCUUGUAACUCCCAGUCUGCUUCCUCACAUGUGAUGGAUCUAUGUUGUAAAAAACAGGUAUCACAAUCUGUACCAUAUAUUUCUUGCAUUCAAGAAUCUUUUUGAGCUCAUUCAAGCACCAUUUUGAGGAAGCAUAGUUUUCUGAGAAGAUGACAAUAGACACAUGUGACUCCUCAAUGGCUCUGAUGAGUGCUGGCGAUAUCUUAUCUCCUUUUUGAAGCUCAUUGUUGUCUAUAAAGGUUUCAACUUUCUUUCGGCUCCGAGCAUCAUAAAGAUGGCAUGUGAAGUUUCUGCGGGUAUCCUCACCUCGAAAGCUAAGAAAAACGUCAUAUUUUUUCACAGAUGCCACAGAAGAAGAAAAAACACUGUUUGUUUGCUUCCUAGCCAUUAUGAAUUCCAAGCGCUGCGCUAAUCACAAUGCUACACUCAAACAUAAAAAAUAUUUGAUGUUUAAAUUUGUUCUCGGUUACUUUUUGUACUGGCACUCGUGAUAGUGUUACAUAUUGAGAUUUAUAAAUCAGAUUGACAUCAGAUCAGGCAGUUCAAAGUCCACAUAUUGCUCAUAUAUCGACCUAGGUAAUGUGUAUUUUUUGAUCUAGGAAAGCNACAAUUGUAAAUCCCGCCUUAUUUGCUUGACGACGCACCCACUCAAGCAAUUCAUCUCUAUCUUUCGACAUAACGUCGUCUGACAAAAAAACUAGCCGUGUCGACCUCGUGGGCUUGAAGUGGGAGGACACCGGAGCCGCCAACAUACUUUGAAGCUUCAACAUGGAAGGAAGCUCCAUCAAUGUUUGAUUUCGCUUCACUUUAGGCGGUUUGACAUCUCCGGAAAUUUCGACAAAAUUUUGUUUUGUCUCUCCCGAAACAUCUUCCGCGUUCUCUACCAUUACUAUAAUUAAACAACACAUAAAUAUGAAUUAACAACUAACUAAUGUAUAAACAUCAAUGCCAUAAUGAAUUAAAACAAAAAAACAAAAAAAAGAAUUUUUUUUUUGAAAAACUGGCAGUAGCUGCCAUUUUUUCGAUGUGAAAAUUUUUCACAAGAGUUCCUCGGCACCUUACUACCGAGGUUUUCCUCGGCACUACACUAUCGACGUUUUCCUCGGCAAUUAACUGCCGAGGAUUCCCAUGACAAGGUUCUAUGUAACUGACGUAGAUACCCAUAAAAUAGCCCAAAAAUCAAUCGAAUAAAAUGCACAAUACCUAUUUUUUACGUCAAAACUGUGUUGAUACCUCCUAUGCUUGAUGCUUGAAUGAUUUUGGAUCAAUAAUUGAUUAAAAAAAAUGGAUUUUGGGAUUGAAUAAUGGAGGUGGAAAUGAAGUUGAUGAAGAAAAUAGUGUGUAGGGGGAGCAGGUGGUUGUUUCAUCUGAUGAAACAUUCUCUCGGCAGUUAACUGCAGCCGGAAUUCAAAUUCCUCGGCAGUUAACUGCCGAGGGGGUAAAAUCGUAUUUUACUAGUGUGUCACAGCCUUAUCAAAUGUGGGAACAACAAUUCUCAUUUGUUUAAGGUGAUGGUGAAAAGAAGGUGAAGAAAGGGAGAAAUAAUUAGGUGUUUUUGACUCACCGUAAGAUAAAAUACACCUGUAUAAUUGAAUGAUCAUCUUUUUAAAAAAACAUAUCAAGGGUUUAAAUUAAAAAUUUUCAUAAGGUCUAUGGUGGACUACUUUUAAGAUUGAUUCACAAUAGACAUUUGGGGGUUAAACUUAACACCAAUGAUUUAUUUGGCAAACAGAAGAAAAGAUGAAGGACUUAAAGGUACGUUUUAUUAAUUUUGGGACCAAAAUGAAAAGUUAAAAUUAAUUAAGGGAUCAUUGGAUCAAAUAAACCUAACAUUAACCAAGAGGAAGAAAUUUCGGAUAACGUAUAACAAAUGAUGUUAAAGUGACGGAUUGCAUUACUAUCCAGUAACAAUAAGAUUAGCAGAAUUAAUAAUAGGAACGUAGUUUUAUAUUUGUUUGUUAUGUUCUGAGUAAUAAUAGAUAAUUUAGUUGUAUAUCCUUACAUAUAAAUAACUUCGUAUUUUUUUUUGUCAAUUGUUUAGUGGUUAAAACUCACACAUUUUUUAUUAAAAAAAAAAAAAAAACUAAGAUAAGAAAAUGGGGUUAAGAUGACCGGUUCCAAUCUACUUUCUAUCAACAAAAAAAUGGGUUUAUGCCCCGCUAAAUAAAAUAACAAUAAUAAAAUAAAUAUAAUAACCAUAUUAAUUAAUAAAUAACAAAGAUAAGAAAUGGGAUUAAGAAAGGAAGGAAGGAAAAAUCCAAAGUGUCUUCUAGGAGCAAAGGUGUCAUGACAUUAUUAUUAGUAUUUUAUGGAACAAUAUUUAGGGUAGCAUGCCUCAUUCUAGUUUAAGAAAAAAUUCAAGGUUCAAUAAAUGCUUGCAUAAAUACUUACAUACUAUUCAUUAAUUAAAUAUAAGUUGCAUUCUUACAAAAUUGCUGACAUGACAUUAUUCUUUAACAAGCAUACAAAGAAAUAUGACAUUAGAGAUAGUGACCCUUUAAGUAAAAAUAUGUACAUCCUCCGAUUAUAAAAAAAUUAAUAUUUUAUAUUCAUUCAUUAAAUUAUGUUUCAUUAAAUUAUGUAUGUGGUUAAUAAUAAAGACUAUAUACAUCAUUUAAUGAAUGAAUCUAAAAUGUUAAUUUUUGCCUAUAAUAAUAAUAUAAUAAUAAUCGGAGGAUGUAUUAUGAAUUUGUCAAUAUGCGUGGUCAGAUCAGAUGCAUAAAAAAUAAAACUUACAUUGUGAAUUCAAUUUCCUAUAUUAAAACUUACAGUGUGAAUCUAAUUUCCUGUAUUAAAACUUAAGGUGUGAAUCUAAUUUUCUAUAUUAAAGUAAAUAGUUGUUACAUGAGGUCCAUUUCUUUUUAUUUGUUUCUUACCAAUCAAUUUCAGUAACCUUUAAACAAAUGUCAUAUUGUUGAAUCGUGAACUUUCUUCACACGUUCAAUGGCUGGUCCAAUUGAGAAAAUAUUAAUGAAUACAUGCUUUGAUAAAUUAUUUAUCAAAAACUGAUUUAUAUACUUUUUAUACACAAGGAAUUGAGUUGGACAAACCCCUUCACUCCGACCUCAUCCCCCAACCUCUCUCACUGCCAAUUUCAAGUGUGUUUAGCUGAGAAAAAGUUAUGUAAUAUUUUGAGGAAAUUCAAAUUCUUUUAAAUAAAUUUUGUUUGUUUGAAUGAUUAAAUUUAGAGAAUUUAUCAUAUUAAUGAAAUUCUAUGAAGUAUUAUGUUAAGUUAAAUUGAGUGAAUUUCAAAUGAUAUCUAAGGUUUAAGAAUUUCAAAUUUCCUACUAGAUAUAUAUUUCAAAAUUUCCAAGUUGGUCCCCAUAUUUUUCAAAAAAAAUAAAUUGACCCUUAAAUAUUUAAAAUAAAUUGCAAAUUGAUCCUUACAAUUUCUUGAAAAUUAUAAAUUGACCACUUUCAAUUUUUGAAAUCUACAAAUCAGCCCUCUAUUUUUCAAUUUUCAAAUUUGGCCCAAAAUUUUAGAAUAUAUAAAAGUAAGUAGCACAAAAAUAUAACUGAAGUAUUUUAUCACUGUAUCCAAACAAAAAUAUUUAAAAAUAAAGGCAUCUAGCGUCGAUCAUCUCACAAGGUGUUGGGAUGAUUUAUACCGCCGCUUUGAAAAUUAGAACUCUAAGACUAAGAAGGAAAAGAUGAAGGGAACUUGCUACAAAUGGUAUUAUUAAUGUGGCUUGGUGGAACUCUUUACCCUUCUUUACUAGGGAUGACUUUUAUAAAGACCGCUAUGAAUUUUUAAAUUAUCGUUCUCCAUAUCUCUUUGUAUUUUAAUUUGGUUUAUGUUUUGGUUUGGUCCUCCUCUGGUACGGUUUUUCAUUUUUUCAAUAAAUUUUUAGAUCAAGCUGACAUAGGAUGUGGUGAUUUUGAAGUGUCAACAUAGUUGAGAUGUCAAACCUUCUUUUUCAUUGUUGGAGCUUAUGACUUCACCUCCAAUUGCUGAAGGCUGUAACUCAUUAUAAUUUUCCUGCCCACCAGAAUAUUGAGCACUGAAUUUUAAUUUACCAAUUUCCCUACCAUCCAGAUCUGACUUAUGUUCUAAGUUAUAUACAGGUAAGACCCCACACCCCUUUAUCCCCUCCGUUGACCACCACAAUUCUUCAUUGACAUCAUGAUCUGAAAUUAAUACAUGAUCUGAAAUUAAUGUCCCAAUAUAAUUGCAAGCAAAAGUAAAACACGUUUCAACUUCUUUGCCGUUUUCAAAGAUGACACAAUGCAGGGGGUGAUUGCAAAUAUGGAAGCCCUUAGAAAGAAUGGUGCAGAAUAUGAAACCAGACAGGUUAUAUUUUGGAAUAGGAGGAAUGGUUAUUGAAGCCUUUAUUGUUUGAAAAUCAAACUUGCGAGGAACUUGUGCUCCUGGCAAGAUAGAGAAAUAAAAAUCAUCAUGUUCAUUUGCAUGAAAAGGGUAUUUAGAGAAGAUUUGUACCAUGUUCUCAAGAAAUGACCGUUGAGUGGAGUCUGUGUCCAGAUAAGUGCAAUUAAUGGCACUCAAAGAUAAUAGGGAUGGCGGAAGCUCUGUUACAGACACAAGUUUCCUGCAAUCAUCUAAAGCUAGACUUUUUAGCAUUGAAUGGUUUUGUAUGUUCUCGGGGAGACAUUCCAUGUUGCAACACUCAUGCAAUGAGAGCCAUUUUAAAGACUGUAUGCCAUCAAGGAUAGACCACAGACUUAAUGCAUUGAUUUCUGUGCACCCUAAAAGGUCUAGCUCGGUAACAGACCCAAGUCCAUGAUCAUUUGUUAACUUAUUCCCAACAAUGUUAAGCUUGUUACACUCGGAUAGGCCAAGCGAAGUAAGUUUUCUGUUACGCCAAAUCGAUGAAGACAAUUCACGUAUAGCAGUGCCACCUAAGGUCAACUCUGUCAUUUCAUCUGAUGUCACCGAAAAUUCUGUGAGAGAUGCACAACCAUCGAGUAAGAGUUCACGAAGAGAUUUUGAAUGAAUGUUGGUUUUAAGGCUUUCAAUCUUUUUGCAGUCUCGUAAAUCUAGAUAUCUAAGAUCAGGGAGAGAAAAGAUGGAAGGAUGGAGCUGACCCAGGCUUUCACAUUGAAAAAGAUAUACUCUAUGAAGAUUUGUAGCCUUAGAUAAGUCUGGGAUCUCAAUCAGAUUUUUGGAGGAUUCAAGCCAAAGUAUGUUUAGAUUCACAAGAUUCUGUAAAAAGAAAUAAAAACACCAUUUAAAUUCAUAAAUAGAGAAACUAAACCUAAUUAAGCAUAAAUAGAGACUUUUUAAGAAUGAGCAUUAGACUUCCUCUCAUACUUCAACAAAUUAACAAGUAUAUCCAAACACAUUUGUACCUGAACUCCAUCCCAUAGCUUUUUAAGCUUGCUAUGACUCAAGUGAAGCUCUAUGAGCAUUUCAGCACAAAAGGUUGAUGGCAAAUACUCAAGACAGUAUCCUUCCCAUCGAAGAUACCUCAAUUUAUCAGAAAUCCACUCAAGACCAUCGGGAAAGUACACAUUGCACGUGUUUCCUCUAGAUUUAUUAUAGAUUUUAAGAUAUCUUAAAUUUGUCAUCCUUCUAAAGGAAUUAGACUUCAAGUAAAGAUCCCCCACAUCUGUACUAUCGAAUGUUAUCCCUUCGACAGCUUUAGUUCCCUGAUAAAAAUUAAAUUAAUAAUUAGGAAUGGUUGUCACGUAUACUUUCCUUGUUAUAUUUCAUAAUCAAAUACAUGUGUUAUUUUCAUGUAGAAGUGCUUGCAUCCUCUACUUACCUUGUUAUUUUUCAAUACAUCAGAAAUACAUCAGAUAUCUCAUCAGCUUUCCACAGUCGACUUCGUUUUCCAGGGUCUUCAGAUUCUUGAUUAACAAUUUCCCGUCCCAUUUCUUGUAACAAAUCAUGCAUUUCUAUAAUACAAACUUCCCAUUUGACAUGCAAAAUUGAACCUAGUUGAAUGAGAGCCUUAUCUAGAAGGACUUCUAUCCCACUUAUUGCAAAGAACUCACAAGCUUCCAAUAGAUCUCUUACAAAAGUUUUAUCUUUUCCAUUCAACAAGCAUGCGAUGUCUAGAAAUAUGGCCUUCUGACAAUGAUCUAAAUCAUCAUAACUCAAUUUUAACACAUCAUAAAUCUUUCGAUUGGGAAUCUUUUGGAGCUUUUUCAGUUCAUUUUCCCAUGCUUCUCGGCCCCUUGAACUGAGAUUUGCACCUAAAACUUUUAAAGCCAGAGGGUUACCUUUGCAAUAGGCAAUUACACUAUCUGAUAGAUCUUCAUAUCCAGUUUUAGGAUGUUUUUCUUUGAAGGCAAUCAAACUGAAUAGCUGAAGAGAAUCAGGCUUCUCUAAUUCCUUAACCUCAUAUAUUUCACAUUUACUCAACUGACUAAAUAUCUGCUUAUCUCUAGUUGUAAUAAUGACCCUACUACCUGGUCCUAGACCAUCAAUUUUUAGGAUAAGAUCUUCUAUUUGUUCUAAGGUUUCUACACCAUCCAAAACAAUUAAAACUUUUUUACGCCCAAUCCUUCUCUCGGAGAAAGGGGCUUCUAUGUAGGAUGCAUCAGGAUGAAUAUUUUCUUCCUCUAACAAUGAAGACAGAAGUUUAUUGUGUAGAACAUUGAGUCCAUACUUGUUUGAUUCAUCCAUUACAUUGAGGACGCAACGACCUUCGAAUUGGGAAAAAUGUUUAGCAUAUAAUGUCUUAGCAAGGGUGGUCUUUCCUAUCCCACCCAUGCCCCAUAUUCCAAGUACUCUGACUUCAUUUGACCCAAUUUUCAGCAUUGAUUCAAUUUGUUCGUAAUUUUUCUCAAUUCCAACAAGCCCCUUAAUUUCAUAUGGGUACCUAAUAUUCAGUUUCCGCAAAACAUCUUCAACAAUGUCUUUAAUGAAGUCUGGUUCACUCCUAACAUAUGAAAGAUGGGAAGAAUGUUUUACAACAAAAGAAAAAUGCAUUCAUAUAUAUGAUUAGGACAUAAUAAAAUUUAUAUUCAACAUGGUGGCAGAGUAGAGCACAUAAAGAAAAUCAAUUACGUAAGACACAGAAGAUAAUUAAUGUCUUAUUUUUUUAGGAAGUGAAAUCCUAAAGAAAAUUCCAAAAAAUUGUAUAGAUUUUAAAAAAAUUGUAUGAUAACUAUGGCCAGGCACAUCAACAUCAUUGUUUACUUUCUAAAGUUAUUAUUAGCUUUCAUUUUCUCAAAUUUAUGUUCAUUUCCAAUCACGAAUAUGGAAAUGAAAAACUUGUGUAGUAAAAAAUUGUGCUAUAUUAGAAAACAAAACUUGCAAAUCAUAGGAUAUAGUUUAUUGAUUUACUUAGGAUAGUUCGUUUUACUUACCUAUAAUUUCGAGAGUCCCAACCAACCAAAUUAGCUGCCUCGGUGAGAGAAUCUUUCCAUUUCUUCAACUUGUCAUUAUUGUGCUUCAAAUCUUGCUUAUGUUUUGCAAAGGCUUGCUUGUAACUCCCGGUCUGCUUCCUCACAUGUGAUGGAUCUAUGUUGUAAAAAACUGGUAUCACAAUCUGUUGCAUAUAUUUCUUGCAUUCAAGAAUCUUUUUGAGCUCAUUCAAGCACCAUUUUGAGGAAGCAUAGUUUUCUGAGAAGAUGACAAUAGAUGCAUGUGACUCCUCAAUGGCUUUGAUGAGUGCUGCCGAGAUCUCAUCUCCUUUUCGAAGCUCAUUGUUGUCUAUAAAUGUUUCAACUUUCUUUCGGCUCAAAGCAUCAUAAAGAUGGCUAGUGAAGUUUCUGCGAGUAUCCUCACCUCGAAAGCUAAGAAAAACGUCAUAUUUUUUCUGAGGCACCACAUCAGAAGAAACUAUAGAGGAAAAGGCACUGCUCAUUUUCGGCACGGCAGUUAUGAAUUCCAAGUGCCUGCACUGAUUAGGCCACUAAUCACAAUGCUACAAUAAAAAAGAAGUAAUGUUUAAUUAGAGAAAGUAGUAGAUAAAUUAAAAUUGAGGGAAAAAAGAUUAUACGUACCAAAGUCAGAAUCCAGCUUCAUGCAAUAGAGGAGAAGAAUACUGUAAAAGUUAUAAUCCAGCUUCCGGAAUUAAUUUUGGAUGAGCACACACAAACUCUUCAUAAUGCUUUGGUUGGUCAUGAUGUAUAUUGUAUAUAGAUGUAAUGUGUGGUUAUCCUUCAAGGAAGUUUCGUUUGCUUAAACAUUGUGUUUGGUAGAGGUGAUUUAUGAGAGAGAAAUAGGUGAGAGAGAGAGAUACAAGAGAAAUGUUGUAUUUCUUCAGUUUGCUAAUAUUAUGUUUUAAAAAAUAAUUUGUUAGUUGUCAUUAACUAUUCUGUUAUCAUUUGAAUAGGAGGAAUAUGACCGACAACUUGCCGAGGCUCUUUCUAAAGGGUUAACUGUUGAUCAUAGUUUGGCCCUCCAAAUUUGGACCAAAGUUGCUGGCGAUAAAACCAAAGGAAAAUUAUAUGGUGCCGGUAACUUGACCGCUAACUACCGGAAGGGUGUUGCAACAACCCUCAGAUUUACCCUUAAUCAUGGCGAAGGAUCCUCCCAGCAGCCUGCACUGACCCCUGAGAUGCAUGACCUUAUUCAAAGAUUGACUCAAGAGCAGCUCACCCAGCAAAUGGCGAGACAUGAGGCCGUUGUACAAGAUUUGCUUAGCCGCCAACGAACAUAUGAGGAGCAACUGGCUCAAUUUCGGCAAGCACAUGAGGAUGGGAAUUCAAGUCAGCAAGCGUCAGUUCCAGAUCCCAAUGUAGAGCCUUUUCCAAUUUAUGGCGAAGGUGGAAGCGAAGGAAGCAAGGAGAUUGAGAGCGAUGAUGAGGAGUGAAGUUGGACCCUUAUGAUGUGUUCAUGCAUGUUAUUUUAUUUUGCUUUUAUUAUCUAUGGUGUGUAAUAUUUGGGAAAGUUUGUUAUGCUUCGUGAUACAAUUGCUACUUAUUUGCUACUUAUGGUCUAUAACAUUAUUCCCUAUGAUUUUAAUUUCAUUACUGUUGGACUUAAUAUUUUGUGGGUGCUAUUACUUUAAUUUUUAUUCUUAACUACUUAUUUUAAAGCAAUUAAAUUAAAAAAACCAUGUGUUUUAAAUUAUUUUAAAUGAUUUUAAAAUAAUGAAAUUAAAAAAAGCAAUUUAAAAUCGUUUUUAAAUUUAUUUUAAUAAUUAAUUUUAAUUAUUUUAAUGAAAUUAACGUUUUUAAAAAACAAUUAAAAACCAUUUUUUAAAAAAAUUAUCUCUGCAAUUUGCCAGGGGUAUACCCCUUGCAAUACUCCUGUCAUAUUUUGGGUCAGACUGCAGCUGAUUGACAGCGCGUAAGUUCUGCAGUGCGUCAGAAAAGCCUGCAGUGCGUCAGGUAAGCAGGUUGUUGAGUCAGACAAUUAGUCAGGGCCCUGCCAGGGGUUUUUCCAGGAGUUAUAAGAGGGGUUUAGACAGGAGUGUGUCCCACGCAGAUUUGCAGCCCUGGCAUAGCAAUUUGCUAUGAGCGCAUUUGCCACUGAUUCAACUCCUCACAAAAGCCCUGGCAAAUGGCUUUUUCCCAGGGAUUCUUGCAAUUUCACAAGGAAUCCACCCCUGGCUAAUUGCAGGAUUUCUUGUAGUGUUCAAUUGUUUUUCUCUGCUAUUCUCCCUUGUUCAUAAUUGUGGUUCAAAGUACCAAAGGGAAUGGAUUAGGUAUGACAAUUUAUCAUUAAAUAUUCCAAUUUAAUAAAUGACACAUGUUGAACAUUAUUUGUUGCAUUACUUAAUAACUCUCGGAUGCCAUGCCUCAAAACACAAAUGAAUCAAAUGAUGGUAGUAUUUGGCAAAUAAUUUAUAAUAAUAUCUAGAACGAAAUUUGUUUCUUUAAUUAAUAAGACCUCCAUUGCUGCAAGUGGCAAAGUACUUGGAUCAAUUCAUUGGUUCAGGUUGUAAGGCAUUUGAUCCUUUUUAGCAAGUGAUCAAAGGUUUGAUCUCUGACUCUUGUAUAUGAAAAAAAGAAUCCAAUUAGAAGUAGAGAACUCAUCUUGUAUAUCUCACGGGUUCUCUGACGCAGAUUAAUCACCGCUAAAAUUCUUGUGUUUCUUAUCAACAUUUUCUCAUAACAAUAAGCAUUUUCCAUCAUGUUAAGUCCUUUUCUAUUUAAAAAUGAUCUGCAAUGCUAGGGAGAAUGAUAGAUGGUAAGAAACAUGGAAGUUCCCAACUUCCAAAAGAUCCUACUGAAAGGCAAUAAAUAAGCCUAUGGGUGCUCAAAUAUUGUUCUGAAUGAAAGCAAGUUGAUUACCAAAUAAACUACCCUCCCCAAGUGGAUAGCAUAGGGGCAAGUUCCCAAAUUCAAAUACAUGAAACUAGGAUUAUGUUAAUGAAUACCGAUGUGAUUACUGCAAAACGAAGAAGAACGACAAGUCAUUUAGUUACAAAGCAGAUGUUUGAAGAAAGAGGAGUUCAAGUACCAAGAAACACAACAGAAAACAACUGCAUAAAUUUAGGAAGUUUUCUGCCAUGGUAAAAGUAACAAGCAACCUAUCAUUGCACAGCUUGAUAUCACCAGUCUACUGCAUCAACACAUACUGUUGAGUGAAUGUAAUGAUGUUGUGCUCAUUUUACUUGGGAAACAGGAGAAAGAGACCAAAAAACAUUUCUGACUUCUAUUAUUCUUUUGAUCGUUUUAACAAGUGCCUCAUCAAAGAACCUGUCCAAUGUUAUUGCAACAAGACGAAUAUUAUUUUCUAGAAUCACAAGAUUUUUGAAACAAUUCUUCAUUUUGAAGAUUUUUCAAUUAAAAAAAAAACUAAUAUGGAAUGUAUAACUAGAGAGUGGGUUUUGAGUUUCAUACCUAUUGAACAAGAAGGUUGUUCUUGGUAUUCUUCAUUAUCAUUGUUAGAGCUUCCGACUUCACCUUCAAUUUUUCUUGGCUGUCAUCAAUAUCAUUUUUCAAAUCAAAAUCAAAUUCACCAGAGUCCUGAGCACUGGAUUUUAAUUUUGAUUUAACUAUUUCCUCACGACUACUACUUAUAACAUACAGCUCCGACUCACUUUUCAAGUCAUAUACAGGUAAGACUCCACACCCCUUUAUCCCCUCUGUUGACCACCACAAUUGUUCCUUUUGACCUUGAAGUAGGAACUGAAAUGAUAGGUUGCAAAAGUCAUGACUUCCAGUUUCUUGUUUGUUGUAACCAUUCCAGCAUAUCAAUACAUGAUCUGAAAUUAAUGUCCCAAGAUAUUUGCAACUAAUACGACAUCUGUCGACUUCUUUGCCAAAGUUGCAUGCAACUUCUACACCUGACAAGAGAGAAAAAUGACGAACACCAUCUUCAUCAGGAGUGUCUUUAGAGAAAGUUCGUACCAUGUUCUCAAGCAAUAACCGUUGAGUGGAGUUCAUAUCCAGAUAAUUGCAGUUAACAGCUGUCAAAUAUAACAGGGAUGCUGGAAGCUCUGCUAGAGACACAAGUUUCCUGCAAUCAUCUAAAUCAAGCCAUUUUAGGAUUGAAUGGUUUUGGAUAUUCUCGGGGAGACUUUCUAAGUUGCAGCACUCAUUCAAUAUUAGCUGUUUUAAAGAUUGUAUGCCAUCAAGGAUGGACCAAAGACUUAAUGCAUUGAUUUCUGUGCACCCUGAAAGGUCUAGCUUUGUAACAGACCACAGUCCAUGAUCAUCUCUUAACUUAUUCCCAACAAUUUUAAGCUUGUUACACUCAGAUAGGCCAAGCCAAGUAAGUUUGCUAUUGCGCCAAAUCGAUGAAGACAAUUCACGUAUAGCAGUGCCGCCUAAGGUCAACUCUGUCAUUUCCUCCGAUGUCACCAAAAAUUCUGUGAGAGUUGAACAACCAUCGAGUAAGAGUUCACGAAGAGAUUUUGAAUGAAUGUUGGUUUUAAGGCUUUCAAUCUUUUUGCAACCUCGUAAAUCUAGAUAUCUAAGAUCAGGGAGACAGAAGAUGGAAGGAUGGAGCUGACACAGGCUUUCACAUUGAAAAACACUCCAUGAAGAUUUGUAUCCUUAGAUAAGUCUGGGAUCUCAAUCAGAUCUUUGGAGGAUUCAAGCCGGAGUAUGUUUAGAUUCACAAGAUUCUGUAACAAUAAAUAAACAUGACAUUGCUUAGAAACCAUUAAAUCCAUAAUUAAGCAUAAAUAGAGACUUCUUAAGAAUGUGCAUCAGACUUCCUCUCAUACCUAAAUAAAUUAACACGUACGUAUAUCCAAACACAUUUGUACCUGAACUCCAUCCCAGAGCUUUUUAAGCUUGCUAUGACCCAUGUGAAGCUCUAUGAGCAUUUCAGCACAAAAGGUUGGUGGCAAAGACUCAAGGCAGUAUCCCUCCCACAUAAGGAACCUCAAUUUAUUAGAAAGCCACUCAAGACCGUCGGGAAAGUGCACAUUGCAUGUUCUCCCAUUAGAUAUAUUAUAGAUUUUAAGAUAUCUUAAGUUUGUCAUCCUUCUAAAGGAAUCAGACUUUAAGUAAAGAUUCCCAACUUCUGUACUAUCAAAUGUUAUACCUUCCACAACUCCCGUUCCCUACCAAACAAAAAUCAGAUUAUUAAUUAGGAAAGGAUGUAAUAAAUGUUUGCUUGUUAUAUUUCAUAACCACAAACAUGUGUUUUCAUAUGGAAGUAAUUGCAUUGUCUACUUACCUUGUUUUUUUUCAAUACAUCAGAUAUUUCUUCAGCAUUCCACAAUCGACUUCGUUUUCCAGGGUUCUUAGAUUCUUGAUUAACAAUCUCUCGUCCCAUUUCUUGUAACAAAUCAUGCAUUUCUAUACCAUCAACGUCCGACUUGACAUAAACAUGCCAUAUUUUUUUUAGUUGUAUGAGAGAUUUAUCUAGAAGGACUUCUAUCCCACUUACUGCAAAGAACUCACAAGCUUCCAAAAGUUUUCUUACGAAAGAUUUACUCUCUUCUCUCAGCAAGCAUGCGUUGUCUAGAAAUAUGGCCUUUUGACAACAAUCUAAGUCAUCAUAACUCAAUUUUAAUACAUUGUAAAUUUUCGUAUUGGGAAUCUUUUGGAGCUUUUUCAAUUCAUUUUCCCAUUCAUCUUUGCCUCUUGAACUCAGAUUAGCACCUAAAACUUUUAAAGCCAGAGGAUUGCCUUUGCAAUAGGCAAUUACACUCUCUGAUAGAUCUUCAUAUCCAAUUUUAGGAUGUUUUUCCUUGAAGACAGUCAAACUGAAUAGCUGAAAAGAAUCAUGAUUAUUCAAUUCCUUAACCUCGUAUAUUUCACAUUUACUGAACUGACUAAUUAUGUGCUUAUCUCUAGUUGUAAUAAUGACCCUACUACCGGGUCCCAGCCCAUCAAUUUUUAGGAUAAAAUCUUCUAUUCUCUCUAAGGUUUCCACGCCAUCCAAUACAAUUAUAACUUUUUUAAGCGCAAUCCUUCUUUCGGAGAAAGGGACUUCUAUGUAGGGUGCAUCAGGAUGAAGAUUUUCUUCCUAUAACAAUGAAGAUAAAAGUUUAUUGUAUACAACAUUGAGUCCAUACUUGUUUGAUUCAUCCAUUACAUUGAGGAAGCAACGACCUUCGAAUUGGGAAUAAAGUUUAGCAUAUAAAGUCUUAGCAAGGGUUGUCUUUCCUAUGCCACCCAUGCCCCAUAUUCCAAGGACUUUAACAUCAUUUGACCCAAUUUUCAGCAUUGAUUCAAUUUGUUUAUAAUUUUUCUCAAUUCCAACAAGACCCUUAAUUUCAUAUGGGUAUCUAAGAUUUAGUUUCCUUAAAACAUCUUCAACAAUGUCCUUAAUGAAGUCCACUUCAAUCCUUGCACAUGAAGGAAGGAAAGGUCUUACAAGUCUAACAAAUACAAUAGAAGAAAAAUACAUCUAUAUGAUUAGUAUACAAAUUUGUAGUCAACAUGGUGGCAUUAACAUCUAUUUUUUCUACGAAGUGAAAUCCUAAAGAAAUUCCAAAAAAUCAAAAAUCAAAAAAAGGUUUUUAUGCUACCCAAACGAUAAGAUGAUGUAUUCUUUGUAUUUAGAUUUAAGAGUAUCAAUUGAGUGAUAAGUGUAUGCAGGGUACAAGAAUAUGUUGACUUUGAAGACUCCUACCCUCUUCCCAAUAGUAAAUAACUGUGCUAUAUUAGAAUACAAAACAUGCAAAUGAUAGGAAAUAGUUUAUUGAUUUUACUUUGAAUUUUGGAAACAUACAAGUGAUGAACAUAUCCAAAGCUGGAUAGUUUGUUUUAUUUACCUAUAAUUUUGAGAGUCCCAUCCAACUAAAUUAGCUGCCUCAGUGAGAGAGGCUUUCCAUUUCUCCAACUUGGCAUUAUUGUGCUUCAAAUCUUGCUUAUGUUUUGCAAAGGCUUGCUUGUAACUCCCGGUUUGCUUCCUCACAUGUGAUGGAUCAAUGUUGUAAAAAAUAGGUAUCACGAUCUGUUCCAUAUAUUGCUUGCAUUCUAGAAUCUUUUUGAGAUCAUUCAAACACCAUUUUGAGGAAGCGUAGUUUUCUGAGAAGAUGACAAUAGACACAUGUGACUCCUCAAUGGUUUUGAUGAGUGUUGGUGAGAUCUCAUCUCCUUUUUGAAG